rnacentral:tRNA from 1 species
UUUUUUUAAUAUUUUUUUUUGCUUUGUUUUACAGAUCAUUACUUGAACGUGCUGAUGAAAUAUUGAUUUAUAAAAUAUCAUGUUACCAAGAUGACAUGCCUCGAAGAGCAAUACAUGAGGGAAUACCUCUAUUUCUAAUCAAAUUACAACAAUACACCAAAGACAGUAGUUCUCGGAUGAAAUGAAAGGAUUGAUAAAUGUUCAUGGCCAGCAGUGGAUAUUUGUGACUAUAAUAAAUGGAUACAAAGAAACUAUGAUGGAUAAAUAUGGCCCCGUAAUGGAUAUUCAGUUAAUGGACAUACAGUUAAUGGACAUACAAAGGUCACAGAAAUGUCUAUUUUCAGGUACUGUUCUUUCUUGUUUGCCUGCGAACAGGCUGUAGAUACUUGUAUCCAGGCCAUUGUUUUUUGGUUUUUUUUUUGUUCUGGGUACAAUGAAAUCCGGCAUAAAUCCUGGCGGUCUAAAUGUUCAAUAUAUUUACAAAUUCGAUCUAUUUUCUGUUCAGUAGACUUUGAUAGCUUGAAAGAAAGUUUAUAACGAUGAUUUUCUCUGCAAAAACUGUACUUUCGAAAUUCGUCAGCUUCUGAAUUUGAUAACCGAUCUGAGAAAAAAAAAGGAACAUUUGAGUGCAUGGUUAUUGCAUGGUUCUAUAUAUAUUCUAUAUAUACUGCCUUUGUGCACACGCAUAACAAGUGCAGCAACGCAACAGUUUAGACAGGGUCAUGAGGCAGGAUGUGUACAAGAAAAGCUUUGCCAGAGUUUUGUCUUUCGAAAUAGAACGACGAUUGGAAAUUGCUGUUUGAUUCUUUGUAAUAUCUUGUCGCUUGUUAGUGAAAAAGAAAUUUGUCACUUUCCUCAUCUAAGGCCCUGUUUACAUGAGACCGGAACGAAGUCAAACCGGGACCAUUUCGUUUCGGUCACAGUAUUAUUUAUAAUAGAUAUUUACAUGAGUCCGGGACGAAAAUAACUCCGACCGGUCUCAAGUCAUUCCGGCUGCUGAACCGAACCGACGGACUUCAGACCAGCAUGAAUUCAGACGGGGAUGAAUGUAAACAGAAAUAUAUUUCAGACCGGUCUCAGCUGUAAACUUGACAUUGGAACAACACAUGCUAACAAAGGCCAUCUGAAAAAGAAAAUUGCCCUGGCAAGGGGAAUAAGUUGAAAAUUUUGUGAUUUUCGUACCGGUCUCAUGUAAAGAUAUUGACAAUUUCAAUUUUCGUCCCGGUCUCAUGUAAACGGGGCCUAAACCUUUUUUUCAAAAAACUGGCAUCGUUUGUCUUGGGGUUAGGGGGUACAAAUGAUACCCAUAGCUUAGAGGGUGCAAAUGGUACCCGUAAGAAGACUUGGUGGAAAUCAUGUUGGUCGUUUGGAUCGGCGAGAAUAAGACAAUUAUGGUGGCAAAGUUUUUUAAAACAUUUUCUCUCCCGUAGUAAGGUAAAGCAUGUAUUUUCCUGGUAGCCGGUCUUACUUCAUGAAAAAAUAGUCCGCUACCAGUGACUAGGUCCCCUCUCUUAUGGCGGUUAUUCCGGCUCAAUAUCUUCGGGGAUAUUCCUUUUCAGGGCGGUUGCAUGCGGAUAAUAUGGUCCGUCGCGUGCGCAAAAUAGUUAGGGAGCUAGACAGUUUAGAAGCGUCCAAACUGCGCAAUAUACGACACUCGCAUGAAACGUAAAAUACUUUAUAAUAAUUCACAAAAUUGCGAAAACAAAAAAUUGACAAUUUUGCAAUUUGAAUUGUGCGUUUCUGGCAAAUGCCUUUAAUAGAUUCAAGUUGUAACGACAAUUUACAAGCGCAUUAAGUGUAAAUACGGCAUUAUUUCUAAUGAAAAGACCGCCAGGGUUAGAGUGUUUUUAUGUGGUUUGUUAAGGAGCAAACUCGCUUUUUAAAAAAAGAAAUGUGUAUUAAUUUCGAUCCAGAUUUGUUCCUGAACAUGUUCGCCAUGAAAACACUCUGUAGAGCAAGCUCAGCGACGUACGGUCAUAAUAGCGUCGUCGGAAGUUUGCAUUCAGCAUUUUCGUUCAAAAUUGAACGUACAUUAUGCUACGCUAGGGUUGCGUACAAUCGGUACCCGCACGAUGUGUAGCAAUUCUAAAGGAAUAACUAAUACGUAUAAAUAGGGUGUGCGCACGAAGUUUUUUUCGCAGGCCUUUAAUAACUUCGGGGAAAAUA